AAAUGAGGGAGAGACAGGGAGAGGUUGAAAGUGACAGAAGGAAGCAGAGAUUAGAGGUUUUUGUACAGCCCCUGCACUGGGAGCUCUCACUGUGGUUCACGUUCGGUCCAGGAACCAAGCUCAGACUGAGCCAUGACAACUCACAGCCCAAGCUGACACUGCUGCCCCCCUCCCUGGAGCAGGUCAAUGCCAAGGGCACUGCCACCCUGGUGUGCCUUGCCAAUCACUUCUAUCCCGAUGAGCUGGAGGUGCAGUGGAAGAAGGAUGGUGCAGUCAUUUCAGACGGGGUUCAGACCAGCAACUACCUGCGAGCUUCGGACAGCACCUACAGUGUCAGCAGCCUGCUGACCCUCUCUGGGUCUGACUGGGAGUCCAACGCUCGCUUCUCCUGUGCCCUCACCCACGUGACCCUCCCCUCUCCCCUCAGCAAGAGCAUCAGGAGAUCAGAAUGUGUGUAGAGUGUUGGAGACAGUCCACAGAGGAGACACAACUUUAAAUAGGACAGGGCUGAGCUGGCAGGACAAAGGUCAUUGUCAGCACUGAAUUUCUCUUCCUUCCUUCUGAGGAUUGCUCAGAGAAACAUCUGAGGUUUGGAUGUUAAAGCAUGUCAUUGGGAUAGUGGUGAGAGAACUUUACACCAUGUCAAAACUCAUACUGUCCUGGAAGUGUUUGAUGGGGACAGGAUUGCCUUGUGAUGUUAGCUGCAAAAAACAAUGUGAACCUCAGAAGUCUCUGCUUCAGUAAACCAGAUCUCCUUCCUGCUCAGCCACCAGUUCCAAUUUAAGGUUUUGUCACUGUUUGAAGGGACAGGAUUCUCGUGUUAUUGAGAAAAUCUCUCCAAAUGUUUUCCU